rnacentral:rRNA from 1 species
GGAGGGUGCGAGCGUUAAUCGGAAUGACUGGGCGUAAAGGGCGAGUAGGUGGAUAUUCAAGUUAGAUGUGAAAGCCCCAGGGCUUAACCUGGGAAUGCCAUUUAAAACUGGAUGUCUAGAGUCUGGGAGAGGGAAGAGGAAUUUCCGGUGUAGCGGUGAAAUGCGUAGAUAUCGGAAGGAACACCAGUGGCGAAGGCGACUUCCUGGCCUAAGACUGACACUGAGUCGCGAAAGCGUGGGGAGCAAACAGGAUUAGAUACCCUGGUAGUCCACUCUGUAAACGCUGAGUACUAGCUGUUGGAGAGCUUUGACUCUUUAGUGGCGCAGCUAACGCGUUAAGUACUCCGCCUGGGGACUACGGCCGCAAGGCUA